AGUUGAGACUUCUCCAAGGGCCAUGGGGUUGACAUCUGUAUUCUCAGGGUCCUCGUAAGAACUUCCAUUUUAUGUUCUUGUCUUCUCAUCAGUUUGAGUUGUGUCUUUAACAUUGGAGAGAAAAACAACUUGCAAGAUUUUCUUUCAGUAUGAACCAUUCUGAGGUCCUUCAAUUCUUUAGCUGAUUACCAACUCCUACCACUGUUAACCCUCAUCCAGGAACAAGCUUAUGUCUUUAACAUUCUGAGUGGGCUUCAGCAUCCUUGCAUAUGUUCAAUUCUUAAAAACCUGUUGAAAUAAAAGAUCAGGAGACAUAGGAAGGAUGCCAGAAGAGAGCGUGGCCUCACGUGUACCAGCUCUCUGCUCUCCUUUGCCUUGGGACGUUCCAUCCCUGGAAGUUUCCCUGCCCACAUCUUUGUAGAGAGUCCAUUCUCCAAGCUUCAGUGUGUCAUCUGUGAGGACCGUGACCCACCUGGUACAUCGCCUCAGGGCAUUCAUUUCAGGCUCCUUCUAAAUGGCCAAGGCACCCUUGGAAAUGCAAUGCUACAUCUCAAUGGGAUUUUCCAGUACAAAGAUUCUUUUCAAAUAACAUAAUUGUGGAUACACACCACUCCUACAGUGGUAAACCUCAGGUUCUCCUCCUGCCUUUUGCUAAGUAUAUGUCUUGAUGACAAGCCUUCUGCUGAUGAGCUGUGUUUCUGGACCGAUCAUGGUAGAAGUCAAUUAACGUGUCCCUCACUUGGGGUUUCUCAAGGCUGCACUGAUGAGGAAACUGAAACAGAAAAUCCAGAGUAAAUUCCACCAGGCCACACAGCAAGGUCUGAUAGAGCCAGGAGAGACUUUAUGAAAUCCAGACUCUCACACUAAUGCUCUAUCAGCUAGACCUCCAUGUGAGUCUCCCCAAUGUAGGUAGGAAGUGCUUUCCC
rnacentral:lncRNA from 1 species